AACGAACGCUGGCGGCAUGCCUAACACAUGCAAGUCGAACGAGACCUUCGGGUCUAGUGGCGCACGGGUGCGUAACGCGUGGGAACCUGCCCUUAGGUUCGGAAUAACUCCCCGAAAGGGGUGCUAAUACCGGAUAAUGUCUUCGGACCAAAGCUUUAUCGCCUUUGGAUGGGCCCGCGUUGGAUUAGCUAGUUGGUAGGGUAAAAGCCUACCAAGGCGACGAUCCAUAGCUGGUCUGAGAGGAUGCUCAGCCACACUGGGACUGAGACACGGCCCAGACUCCUACGGGAGGCAGCAGUGGGGAAUAUUGGACAACGGGCGAAAGCCUGAUCCAGCAAUGCCGCGUGAGUGAUGAAGGCCUUAGGGUUGUAAAGCUCUUUUACCCGGGAUGAUAAUGACAGUACCGGGAGAAUAAGCUCCGGCUAACUCCGUG
rnacentral:rRNA from 1 species